rnacentral:rRNA from 2 species
GAAUGCUGACAUAAGUAACGAUAAAGCGGGUGAAAAGCCCGCUCGCCGGAAGACCAAGGGUUCCUGUCCAACGUUAAUCGGGGCAGGGUGAGUCGACCCCUAAGGCGAGGCCGAAAGGCGUAGUCGAUGGGAAACGGGUUAAUAUUCCCGUACUUGGUGUUACUGCGAAGGGGGGACGGAGAAGGCUAUGUUGGCCGGGCGACGGUUGUCCCGGUUUAAGCGUGUAGGUGUGUGUUCCAGGUAAAUCCGGUUCACUUUAACACUGAGGCGUGACGACGAGGCACUACGGUGCUGAAGCAACAAAUGCCCUGCUUCCAGGAAAAGCCUCUAAGCAUCAGGUAACAUCAAAUCGUACCCCAAACCGACACAGGUGGUCAGGUAGAGAAUACCAAGGCGCUUGAGAGAACUCGGGUGAAGGAACUAGGCAAAAUGGUGCCGUAACUUCGGGAGAAGGCACGCUGACACGUAGGUGAAGUGAUUUACUCAUGGAGCUGAAGUCAGUCGAAGAUACCAGCUGGCUGCAACUGUUUAUUAAAAACACAGCACUGUGCAAACACGAAAGUGGACGUAUACGGUGUGACGCCUGCCCGGUGCCGGAAGGUUAAUUGAUGGGGUCAGCGCAAGCGAAGCUCCUGAUCGAAGCCCCGGUAAACGGCGGCCGUAACUAUAACGGUCCUAAGGUAGCGAAAUUCCUUGUCGGGUAAGUUCCGACCUGCACGAAUGGCGUAAUGAUGGCCAGGCUGUCUCCACCCGAGACUCAGUGAAAUUGAACUCGCUGUGAAGAUGCAGUGUACCCGCGGCAAGACGGAAAGACCCCGUGAACCUUUACUAUAGCUUGACACUGAACAUUGAGCCUUGAUGUGUAGGAUAGGUGGGAGGCUUUGAAGUGUGGACGCCAGUCUGCAUGGAGCCGACCUUGAAAUACCACCCUUUAAUGUUUGAUGUUCUAACGUGGACCCGUUACCCGGGUUGCGGACAGUGUCUGGUGGGUAGUUUGACUGGGGCGGUCUCCUCCUAAAGAGUAACGGAGGAGCACGAAGGUUGGCUAAUCCUGGUCGGACAUCAGGAGGUUAGUGCAAUGGCAUAAGCCAGCUUGACUGCGAGCGUGACGGCGCGAGCAGGUGCGAAAGCAGGUCAUAGUGAUCCGGUGGUUCUGAAUGGAAGGGCCAUCGCUCAACGGAUAAAAGGUACUCCGGGGAUAACAGGCUGAUACCGCCCAAGAGUUCAUAUCGACGGCGGUGUUUGGCACCUCGAUGUCGGCUCAUCACAUCCUGGGGCUGAAGUAGGUCCCAAGGGUAUGGCUGUUCGCCAUUUAAAGUGGUACGCGAGCUGGGUUUAGAACGUCGUGAGACAGUUCGGUCCCUAUCUGCCGUGGGCGCUGGAGAACUGAGGGGGGCUGCUCCUAGUACGAGAGGACCGGAGUGGACGCAUCACUGGUGUUCGGGUUGUCAUGCCAAUGGCACUGCCCGGUAGCUAAAUGCGGAAGAGAUAAGUGCUGAAAGCAUCUAAGCACGAAACUUGCCCCGAGAUGAGUUCUCCCUGAGACUUAGAGUCUCCUGAAGGAA